CCAGGAGUUCAACACAUUCUACGAUAUGAAAAGAUCCCACAUAAUGGGGAUUCAACUUUUCGUUCUUACAGAACUGCAUUUUUUCCUUGUAAGGAAAGAUCUUAAGGAAGACUUGGUCACCAACAACAACUCUGGGGAUAGCUUUUUUGACAACUCUAGGUAGUGGUUAAGUUCCUUCAAAUGAUAGCAACUUUCUUGAUAGUCUCCUAAAUGAAAUCAGUUCCCAAACGAUGCUGGUUCCCAACUUUAUUCCAACAAGUGGGAGAACGGAAACCCCU
rnacentral:lncRNA from 1 species